AGAGUUUGAUCCUGGCUCAGAUUGAACGCUGGCGGCAUGCUUUACACAUGCAAGUCGAACGGCAGCACGGGGGCAACCCUGGUGGCGAGUGGCGAACGGGUGAGUAAUGCAUCGGGACGUAUCCUUGAGUGGGGGAUAACGCAGCGAAAGUUGUGCUAAUACCGCAUAAGCUCUGAGGAGGAAAGCGGGGGACCGAAAGGCCUCGCGCUGAAGGAGCGGCCGAUGUCCGAUUAGCUAGUUGGUGAGGUAAAGGCUCACCAAGGCGACGAUGCGUAGCCGACCUGAGAGGGUGAUCGGCCACACUGGGACUGAGACACGGCCCAGACUCCUACGGGAGGCGAC
rnacentral:rRNA from 1 species